rnacentral:rRNA from 1 species
AACGAACGCUGGCGGCAUGCCUAAUACAUGCAAGUCGAACGAGACCUUCGGGUCUAGUGGCGCACGGGUGCGUAACGCGUGGGAAUCUGCCCUUGGGUUCGGAAUAACAGUUGGAAACGACUGCUAAUACCGGAUGAUGACGUAAGUCCAAAGAUUUAUCGCCCAGGGAUGAGCCCGCGUAGGAUUAGCUAGUUGGUGAGGUAAAGGCUCACCAAGGCGACGAUCCUUAGCUGGUCUGAGAGGAUGAUCAGCCACACUGGGACUGAGACACGGCCCAGACUCCUACGGGAGGCAGCAGUAGGGAAUAUUGGACAAUGGGGGCAACCCUGAUCCAGCAAUGCCGCGUGAGUGAUGAAGGCCUUAGGGUUGUAAAGCUCUUUUACCCGGGAUGAUAAUGACAGUACCGGGAGAAUAAGCCCCGGCUAACUCCGUGCCAGCAGCCGCCGUAAAAC